rnacentral:rRNA from 1 species
CCUACGGGUGGCAGCAGUGGGGAAUAUUGGACAAUGGGGGGAACCCUGAUCCAGCCAUGCCGCGUGUGUGAAGAAGGCCCUCGGGUUGUAAAGCACUUUCAGUGAGGAAGAACGCCUGGUGGUUAAUACCCAUCAGGAAAGACAUCACUCACAGAAGAAGCACCGGCUAACUCCGUGCCAGCAGCCGCGGUAAUACGGAGGGUGCGAGCGUUAAUCGGAAUUACUGGGCGUAAAGCGCGCGUAGGUGGCUUGAUAAGCCGGUUGUGAAAGCCCCGGGCUCAACCUGGGAACGGCAUCCGGGACUGUCAAGCUAGAGUACGGGAGAGGAAGGUAGAAUUCCCAGUGUAGCGGUGAAAUGCGUAGAGAUCGGGAGGAAUACCAGUGGCGAAGGCGGCCUUCUGGGCUGACACUGACACUGAGGUGCGAAAGCGUGGGUAGCAAACAGGAUUAGAUACCCUAGUAGUC